UAAAACCCCAUUUUACAGCGGUUGAUAUUGUAGUAACACGUUUAUUUGUCAUUGUUUUGUGCGCUUCGCUGGCUGCUUUUCCUGACGCACCAAUACAGCGCAUUUUUCAGCAGAGGUCAUUGUGAGAUCGCAAGUUGGGAGAAUGACAGCUUGAGUGUUGUUCUCGUUGAUUGCUGUUUUAUCGUGUCUGUUCGGAUACUUGAGCAUAACAGAUGCUACUCCAGGACAAACCACAGGGUCUGCUCUGGAGGACACAAAUGCUGUCGAUUUGACUGUGGGCCUGUUUCCAGUGAGUUUCAGUAAAUAAUGGAUGCUAGGGGUCCUCCAAAAGUAACGCAUUGAAUUCACCAGGAGAGUGUCCACCCCAAUCAUUAACAAGAGGAUCGUGUACCAGGUCCUGUGAGUGACUCUAACUGUCCCAGCGACUAGAAGUGCUGUGGCAAUGGAUGUGGACGUUACUGUAAGGCUCCAUAUACAGUGAAGCCGGGUCAAUGUCCCAAACCGAAGAGCAUUCCACGGUGUGCUGAAAGGUGUUUCCACGAUGGCCGGUGUCCUGCCACAGAAAUGUUGCCAAACCACCAGUGGCAGAGCAUGCAGUGAACCACGUGGUCAGGGACAUGGUCCGGGAGGUUGCCA